AGUUCACUUGGUACUAGCAACUUUUAUUGGAGACAUACGCGGGAAAGGGGCCCCAUGACUUCUUCAUUCAAGAGGGAGGGAGGACACUAGCCUCGUUACUUCCCACAGGACGAGAGGUGCACCUAACCCAGUUACCCAUUCACCCUGUCACAGAUAUUGGCCUUUUCCUUCAUCAAGAAGAGAAACGAUGGCGCCUUCUCUCUUUUCUCCAGCACGCCGCUUCGCCUCCGCCUCCGCCUCCCCCUCCCCCAAAGCCACCGGCGGUCGCUACUGUUGCUCAGAGUCAGAUCUAACUCUGACAUGUCGCCUCCCCCAAGAGCCCCACUCGUUUGCAGCUACUGGGUCCCGCACCCCUUUCGCCUCCACCGUCGCCUCCGGACUUUUACUAUGGCCGCACCUUCUCUUUUAGCCUCGGCAACUUCUGGGCCUCCGUCCAAUUGCGUCCCUCCGACGAGCUCGUCAUCACGCCUCACCCUGUUCGCGAUCUUGUCAGCUGGGAACUCAACCGAGCUACAGAAAACCUAGAACAUCGCAGUCGGGGAGGAUUCUUCGAAAUCAGAGAUUCGUCUUCGCAGAGUUCUCUGCAUCCAGAUUCCCUGUAGAAUUUGGAUAGCAGAAGAUGUCUGACCGUGUACGUGUUGGAGCCGCGGACGAAGGGGAAAGGUUCGUUUCCACGUGUGUGCGAUCUGAAUUUUUGUUCGAUUCUUCCGGAAUGUCGUUGAGAAGUUGUGGACUUCUAUGAUUGCGUCAUGAAUCUAUCUGCAUUUUAGUUUUUCGCCAUCUAAUUUUGUUUCGAGUCUCUUCCUCAUGCUUUGUUUAUGGAAAUGUGGUUGGAAGUAGUGCUUUGAUGAGUUGAUGAUUAAUGUGAAAGCAACAUUAAGACGAGCGAUCAGGUUCCUUCUGCAUUCGAUUAUGAUCUCCUAUUUGCGUUUCUGCGCCUUUGCUACAUGGAAAUGGCUGCCAAGGCUGAGCCAAUGCUCACUUGACUGCAAAGAUUAAAAUGAGUGAAGUGUGAAUUGGGUCGAGAUUGCUUAUUCAAUGCUUAAGAAUAGACAGGGAAGUAGCUUCUUAGGGAUUGGGCUUGUGUUCUAUGGGUGAUGUUUAGAGAGCCGUGGCGCAAAAUGACAAUGCUUAAGAAACCCUUGCAUUCCGAUUUAUUUAUUAUCUAAAGAUUAUGAAGUUUUUAACGUGUCUUCGGAGUGCACUCACAUUGAAAAGAUCGUUAGAUCUUUCAUUUGGUUUGUGCUAGAGAUACAUUUUGUUGUGAGAAGAGGAAAUUUCCGAUUGUUUUGUCAAUUUGGUCUUUCGGCAACGAGAAUAUCGAAGGAGGGUUAAAUCAUGUAGAAUCAAACUGUCGUAUGGACAACAAUUGAGCUUAAUUCGCAUUGAGCGAAGUCCUUGAUCUGAAGAUUAUGCAUGUAGUAUUAUCGUGCGCUUCAACAUCGUUUAAUUUCUGUAUUCAAAGAAAUUUGGUGUUCAAAUUCAUAACCUUGUUUGUACUUCCUGAUGGUCGGAUGAGCUAAUGUCUUGACUGUGGGUAUUACUGGUUGAAGCUAGCUAAAUUUGUGUAUUUAAGUUGAAUGAUCUUGUCAAUAUAUUUGUCCUAUUUAAUUAAAUUUUUUUGGCUCUUUGCUUAUACUACUGAGGAAGCGCAAUAAGCUCGUUGAACCUUUUGUAUACUCGCAGUUAGGCAUUUCAAUGUAAAAUACAUUUUCCACUUUGUUCUUGUUCGAAUGAGGUGGUUGCUUUAGCUGGUGGAUAAGGUUGUAUGGCAAGGGCUGUGGUGAUGUAUGUGACUAUGUCCAACAAGUUUCAAUUUCCUUUAUUACGUGGUCUACAUAAGCUGCCUGGUUCUUUUUUACCCUGAUUUCUGCUUUCUACUCACAGUUCAAUGUGGCAAUCCUACUUGUUCCAGCAAGGUCCCCCCCCCCCUCUUUCUCUCUCCUUUGUUUGUUCGUUUAGCUCUAGCUUUAUUUAUAUUUGUUAAGUCAUAGUGAAAUGGAUGUUGUGCUUUUGUUGGCAUUCUUCUUGUUCAAUGUUGUAGUGAUUUUAUGCGUUGGAGGAACAUGUUAUUUUCCUUAGUUGAGCUCAGUGAAUAAAUCGAGUCACUCGAUUGGUUUCCUCAUCAAUGUGCAUCAGAGGUAACACCUCAAAUCAUUUUCUACUUCAAUACUAGUUUUAUUGAUGACAUAGACUUGAUAGAUUGAAUAAAAGAUGUGGUGCUUUUGUGGACUCUUGAUAUGUGUUCCCACAGUGAUUGAACUAUAACUGAAUGAGUUUACGAGAUUCUUUAUAUGACUUGUUUACAUAUUGUUCUGGUGGCCGUUUGACAUGGAAUUGCUAAUAUAGUCAAAUCCGAUUGAAUGUGGAAAGUCCAAUUUUCGACUAGAGGAUGCUUCUAUGGUGUGGCUUUAUUCAUGAUUGUCCUUCUUUGGCAUGUAUUUAAUAUUUCUGCAAAGACUUGUUUCACUUAGAAGUUUUUUAUAUGUGAAUCCUUGUUAUCUUGUAGGUACAUCCAAUCAAGUAUAACAUCAUCUAUUCAUGUUUCACUACUCUAUUGAGAGAGCAAUGCCCUUCUGCCCUUUGGAGAGGUUGGGCUACCAAGUUCUUUGGAUAUGGUGCUCAAGGUGGGUGCAGAUUUAGUUUCUACGAGUACUUCAAAUGGGUUUACUCCAAUGCCUUGGUUGGCAGCAACAUGAGCUUGAUUUUUUUUCUCAGCAGUGCUUUUGUGGAAGCAUUUACAAAUGUGGCACUUUGCCCUUUUGAAGUCGUUAAAAUAUGGGUUCAAGCACAGUCCCAUUUUUCAAAAGACUUGAUUGAUGGCUUCCCUAAAGUAUAUGCAUCAAAAGGGCUUUCUAGGGUAAUUUUUUGUGGCCUUAGUAUUGUUUACUUGUGUUAGAGGUAGAAGGGGCAUUCUAAUGCUUUUCUUGCUUUCAGAUUUUACAAAGGGCUUCUACUGCUUUGGUCGAAAUCUUCCAUGUAAUCUUUUCAUUCAUUCUUGGGCUAUAGAGUUGGUCAGCUUUCUCAUAUUGAAUAUUGAAUCUAAAAGAUGCUUAGAUGAACAAAAGCUGUUUUAUGGGAGAGCAGACCAUUCUCUUUCUAAGUGACAUUAAAAACUUAAUCCCCAACUUUGUUAAGUGGGAGAGCUGGUCUAUAGGUGUUUGGUUUGUCCUCAUGUUAUGCCUGCAUCUUUUACUUCUGAAUGUUUAUAGUCCAUAUUAUGUUCACAAUGAAGUAUGGAAACUCACACCAAGUUGUUGAA